rnacentral:misc_RNA from 1 species
AGCAGCCGCGGUAAUUCCAGCUCCAAUAGCGUAUAUUAAAGUUGUUGCAGUUAAAAAGCUCGUAGUUGAAUUUCGGGAUCAAUUAGUCGGUCGUGCCUCUGGUACGUACUGGUUUUAUUGGUUCCUCCCUUCUGACGAAACAUGAUGUCAUUAAUUUGGUGUCGUGGAGAAUCAGGACUGUUACCUUGAAAAAAUUAGAGUGUUUAUAGCAGGCUAACGCUUGAAUACAUUAGCAUGGAAUAAUGAAAUAGGACGUUCGACCCUAUUUUGUUGGUUUCUAGGAUCGACGUAAUGAUUAAUAGGGAUAGUUGGGGGCAUUAGUAUUCAAUUGUCAGAGGUGAAAUUCUUGGAUUUAUUGAAGACUAACUACUGCGAAAGCAUUUGCCAAGGAUGUUUUCAUUAAUCAAGAACGAAAGUUAGGGGAUCGAAGACGAUCAGAUACCGUCGUAGUCUUAACCAUAAACUAUGCCGACUAGGGAUCGGAUGAUGUAAUUUUUUA